rnacentral:rRNA from 1 species
CAGCCGCCGCGGUAAUACGUAGGUGGCAAGCGUUGUCCGGAAUUAUUGGGCGUAAAGGGCUCGCAGGCGGUUUCUUAAGUCUGAUGUGAAAGCCCCCGGCUCAACCGGGGAGGGCCAUUGGAAACUGGGAAACUUGAGUGCAGAAGAGGAGAGUGGAAUUCCACGUGUAGCGGUGAAAUGCGUAGAGAUGUGGAGGAACACCAGUGGCGAAGGCGACUCUCUGGUCUGUAACUGACGCUGAGGGGCGAAAGCGUGGGGAGCGAACAGGAUUAGAUACCCCUGUAGUCCCUGUCUCUUAUAC